rnacentral:rRNA from 1 species
UACGUAGGGCGCAAGCGUUAUCCGGAAUUAUUGGGCGUAAAGCGCGUGUAGGCGGUCCGGUAAGUCGGCUGUGAAAGUCCAGGGCUCAACCCCUGGGGAUGCCGGUCGAUACUGCCGGACUAGAGUUCGGAAGAGGCGAGUGGAAUUCCCCGGUGUAGCGGUGAAAUGCGUAGAUAUCGGUGAGGAACACCUAUGGCGAAAGCAGGUCUCUGGGCCAUCACUGACGCUGAGCUGCGAAAGCUAGGGGAGCAAACAGG